rnacentral:sRNA from 1 species
CAGAAUACUGCCGAAGACAGUAGGUGCCCUAGUGGCGUAAGCAUGUCGCCUACCGAGGAAUAUAAAUUUGAUUAUUUAUUACCCUUCUGUCUUUGGAUAGAAGGGUUUUCUUUUAU